CCCUUAGAUGUUCUGGGCCGCACGCGCGCUACACUGAUGCAUUCAACGAGCCUAUCCUUGACCGACAGGUCCGGGUAAUCUUUGAAUCUGCAUCGUGACGGGGAUAGAUUAUUGCAAUUAUUAAUCUUCAACGAGGAAUGCCUAGUAGGCGCAAGUCAUCAGCUUGCGUCGAUUACGUCCCUGCCCUUUGUACACACCGCCCGUCGCUCCUACCGAUUGGAUGUUUAAGCGAGGUUCUCGAACUGCUAGCGACUUAGCUUCGGUGAGGUCGCAGUGUGGGAAGUGAACCUAGCUUUGGUGUCUAGAGGAAGUAAAAGUCGUAACA
rnacentral:rRNA from 1 species